AGAGUUUGAUCAUGGCUCAGAUUGAACGCUGGCGGAACGCUUUACACAUGCAAGUCGAACGGUAACGCGGAGAGAAGCUUGCUUCUCUCCGGCGACGAGUGGCGAACGGGUGAGUAAUACAUCGGAACGUGUCCGCUCGUGGGGGACAACCAGCCGAAAGGUUGGCUAAUACCGCAUGAGUUCUACGGAAGAAAGAGGGGGACCCGCAAGGGCCUCUCGCGAGCGGAGCGGCCGAUGACUGAUUAGCCUGUUGGUGAGGUAACGGCUCACCAAAGCAACGAUCAGUAGCUGGUCUGAGAGGACGACCAGCCACACUAGGACUGAGACACGGCCCAGACUCCUACGGGAGGCAGCAGUGGGGAAUUUUGGACAAUGGGCGCAAGCCUGAUCCAGCUAUUCCGCGUGUGGGAUGAAGGCCCUCGGGUUGUAAACCACUUUUGUAGAGAACGAAAAGACACCUUCGAAUAAAGGGUGUUGCUGACGGUACUCUAAGAAUAAGCACCGGCUAACUACGUGCCAGCAGCCGCGGUAAUACGUAGGGUGCGAGCGUUAAUCGGAAUUACUGGGCGUAAAGGGUGCGCAGGCGGUUGAGUAAGACAGAUGUGAAAUCCCCGAGCUUAACUCGGGAAUGGCAUAUGUGACUGCUCGACUAGAGUGUGUCAGAGGGAGGUGGAAUUCCACGUGUAGCAGUGAAAUGCGUAGAUAUGUGGAAGAACACCGAUGGCGAAGGCAGCCUCCUGGGACAUAACUGACGCUCAGGCACGAAAGCGUGGGGAGCAAACAGGAUUAGAUACCCUGGUAGUCCACGCCCUAAACGAUGUUAACUAGUUGUUGGGAAGUAAAAUUCUCAGUAACGCAGCCAACGCGAGAAGUUAACCGCCUGGGAAGUACGGUCGCAAGACUAAAACUCAAAGGAAUUGACGGGGACCCGCACAAGCGGUGGAUGAUGUGGAUUAAUUCGAUGCAACGCGAAAAACCUUACCUACCCUUGACAUGUCAGGAAGCUCUUGUAAUGAGAGCGUGCCCGCAAGGGAGCCUGAACACAGGUGCUGCAUGGCUGUCGUCAGCUCGUGUCGUGAGAUGUUGGGUUAAGUCCCGCAACGAGCGCAACCCUUGUCACUAGUUGCUACGAAAGGGCACUCUAGUGAGACUGCCGGUGACAAACCGGAGGAAGGUGGGGAUGACGUCAAGUCCUCAUGGCCCUUAUGGGUAGGGCUUCACACGUCAUACAAUGGUCGGGACAGAGGGCAGCGAAGCCGUGAGGCGGAGCCAAUCCCAGAAAACCGAUCGUAGUCCGGAUUGCAGUCUGCAACUCGACUGCAUGAAGUCGGAAUCGCUAGUAAUCGCGGAUCAGCAUGCCGCGGUGAAUACGUUCCCGGGUCUUGUACACACCGCCCGUCAAACAAUGGGAGUGGUGUUUACCAGAAGUCGUUAGCCUAACCGCAAGGAGGGCGGCGACCACGGUGAGCACCGUGACUAAUGUUAAGUCGUAACAAGGUA
rnacentral:rRNA from 1 species